rnacentral:rRNA from 6 species
AAACUUUUAACAACGGAUCUCUUGGUUCUGGCAUCGAUGAAGAACGCAGCGAAAUGCGAUAAGUAAUGUGAAUUGCAGAAUUCAGUGAAUCAUCGAAUCUUUGAACGCACAUUGCGCCCCCUGGUAUUCCGGGGGGCAUGCCUGUUCGAGC